rnacentral:rRNA from 1 species
CCUACGGGUGGCAGCAGUGAGGAAUAUUGGUCAAUGGACGAGAGUCUGAACCAGCCAAGUCGCGUGAAGGAUGACUGCACAGUGGGUUGUAAACUUCUUUUAUAUGGGAAUAAAGUGUUCCACGUGUGGGAUUUUGUAUGUACCAUAUGAAUAAGGAUCGGCUAACUCCGUGCCAGCAGCCGCGGUAAUACGGAGGAUCCGAGAGUUAUCCGGAUUUAUUGGGUUUAAAGGGAGCGUAGGUGGAUUGUUAAGUCAGUUGUGAAAGUUUGCGGCUCAACCGUAAAAUUGCAGUUGAAACUGGCAGUCUUGAGUACAGUAGAGGUGGGCGGAAUGCGUGGUGUAGCGGUGAAAUGCUUAGAUAUCACGAAGAACUCCGAUUGCGAAGGCAGUUCACUGGACUGCAACUGACACUGAGGCUCGAAAGUGUGGGUAUCAAACAGGAUUAGAUACCCUUGUAGUC